rnacentral:lncRNA from 1 species
UCUUAUGUCCAUAAAUUACCCUCAUACGUCAUCAUUCGUUUUGGCCUUCUAGCAUUUUCGAUCUGCGAUGUAUUGCUUCAGGUCUUCACUGGGUACUGAGUCCCGUGAUGAAGCUGAUCAACCACAGCCACUGGAAUUGAGGCCUGGACGAUCUCACGCUCGUCAGCAAGCCUCAGCACGCCGCCCAGGCCCGACCUCACCGAUUGAACUCAUUGCUCGAGGUCCAGAUGGCCGGUUCCUGCUCGGUGUCGAGGAAGGAGAUCGAGCUCCGGUUACUACAGAACAGCAAAGAGUUGGUGGUGGAGGCAGAGGAAGGGGUCGAGGUGUUGCCAGCGAGGCAAGUCGAAAACUGGCCGAGGCUGUGAGAGCAAGACCAUCUCCAAGGAGAGGGGGAAGCCACCCACCACCAAGACCUAGACCACCCGUGGCACCACGCCAGGCGACUGAGCACAGUCGCGUGAAGAACCAGAGUCUGAAACUUAGCGAGCGUGCUGAAAUGAAGAUGCAGCUCAAGAAGUCAGGACUUCUGAGCACCCGGAAGCAACAGGUUACAAUUUUAUUAUUCCAUCGUUUUCAUUCUUCGACAUUGAUUCAUUGCUUUGCUUUGUUCAUAGUCUUAAAUUUUCAUAUUUUUCAUUUUUCUCUUCUGCCUUCUGUUCUCAUCCAGGAACGUGAAAGCCAUGCUAAGGUAGAAUCUUCACGGGACCCCAGCUCUUCAGAGAAACCUCCUAUCCCUGUAGUUCAAGUUGAAAGCCAAGGUCCACCUCAUGUUCCACCUUGGGACCCCUUAAGGCUCUCGCUGAGCAGCGCCGAGGGUUCCCCUGACUCGGUAGCCCCUCCGAGACCACCACCUCCAGGCGCCACAUCUCCACGCUCCCUUUUCGUAUACUCACUUUCACCAUCUCUCAGCUCGGCAGGUGCAGCAGCUGGUCUUUCUCCAGUUGUCUCUCCUGCACACUCACCUUCACCGAGCUACAAUCGCUGUGUUUUUGGCCAGGGUCGUGGAGAGCCAGGUUCCUGGGGAGAGACCAAUAUUGGCGAUUGUGGGAAAAGUGGUGGUGGAAAUGGUUGUGGGGAGCAGACAGUCAUGGAACCCUGCCUUGAAGGCUAUGGUAGUCGAUCAUCAUGCUGGCCUCAUCCAUGGAAAGGGCAACAUUGGGGGAAUGAAAGUCUAGUUUCAGAUUGGCAUGAGCAGGAAACUUGGGGCAACAACUGUCAGGAAUGUAACAAUGAUGGGCUGGGGCCUUGGCAGCCAAACGUUUCCAGUGGGGAUGUGGCUGUCUGUAUGACAGUGCCUCCAGAUUAUGAGGAACUGUUUGAUAUGCGAGUCACAAAGGUGCCAACAGGAAAUCGCAAGCAUAUGAUAGAGCGUCAUGCUAUGACUGCAUUUCGACCACCAACAGGGUGAAUAGUACUACAUCAUUUUUCUCCCCCCC